UUCGUUUGCCUGUAAAAAAAUCUUAGUUAUCUGAUCCAAGCUGAUAAAACUAAGGCCGUUAAACAUUUUCUACCCAAUAUCUGCACAGCACAAUUUGCGUUUGGUGCAAAUGAGGGCUGUUUAAUAUUUUAUCUUACCGUUGGCAAUGUAUCAAGUGUGCCUAUUGGAAUAGUCAAACAAAUGCACAGCACCACGAUAUCAUAAAUCUUCAAACUGAAACGUAUUCUAUUAAAUUGACCGACUCCGCUUAUAAACCAUGACUAAUUUGCAUAUAGAAAAACAGACUAAUUUUUAAUUGUCUGGUUUUGUCUUGGGAAGCACCAUAAAGAAAAACGUUUGAGGUAUUGCACUGAAUAAAAAAUUGGUGGGAGCGAGUUUCCGACAGCCCAAUAAAGAUAUACUGUGCCAAUAAAGAUAAAAUGUGCAAGGAAUUGGACAAAUGCGAUACAUGGUGAAAGGUAUAUAGGAUUCGGCCUAGCCAAACAUAACACGCUUUUACUUUUUAAUGACAAAAUGAGUUUUUCAAGAACUUUGAAUACAUUUGCUAUUUUGUUUAAUUUGAUAGUCUCUGUAAAAUACCCAAAUAGAGCUGAUUUAUUUGGGUAUUUCACAGAGACGAUCAAAUUAAACUUGUCAAAUUUUUAAUUUGAAAAAAGAAAGAAAAUUUAUUACAACUUCUUGAGAGCAAAAAUAAU
rnacentral:sRNA from 1 species